rnacentral:sRNA from 1 species
AAACGACCCGGGACCUGGGAGGGAGCAAAGACGUUUCCCGCCGGCGGGAGCUGUGGCUGUGAUUGAGAGAGGGGUUAGAGGCGGGUCCCAGCGCUGCCGCACCAUGGCGGACCAGCUUUAUCUGGAAAAUAUAGACGAGUUCGUCACGGACCAAAACAAGAUCGUGACAUACAAAUGGCUGAGCUAUACACUAGGGGUUCAUGUUAACCAGGCCAAACAACUUCUCAUGGAUGAACUCUUUUUUUUUUUUUUUUUUUUUGAGAUGGGGUUUCACUAUGUUGCCCAGGCUGGAUUUGAACUCAAGGAUCCUCCCGCCUCAGCCUACCAACUAGCUCUACAGGUGUACAUCACCACACCUGGCAAAAACUUUUUAUUAUGUCUUAUUUUAACCAUCCUAGUGGAUGUGAAGUGGUGUCUCAUAAAUUAUGUUGAUUUGCAUUUUCCUAAUGACUAAUGUUGCUGAAUAUCUUUUCAUAUGCUGCUUGGCCAUAUCUUUGGAGAAAUAGAUAUUCAAACUUUUGCCCAUUUUUGUCAUUGGGUAUUUUUGGUUGUUGUUGAGUUUUAAGAGUUCU